rnacentral:lncRNA from 1 species
GUGGAGCACCUCACUAACCCUGCUGACCGGAAUGCACUAACCCUGCUGACUGUGGAGCACCUCACUAACCUGCGGACCGUGCGUGAGCACCUCACAACCCUGCUGACCGUAAUGCACCUCACAACCCUGCUGACCGUGCGUGGAGCACCUCACCUGUUAUGUGUUCUCAUGCUGGUCUCUUGCUCUCCUUAUUUCAGGUGGCGGAGAUUGCAGAGGCCUUCUUUUGUCGGAACACCCGAGACAAACGGCACUGGCCUAUCAGGAACUACAGUAAGACAAAAUUACUAACGUGGUGUGUGUCUGUGUGUGUCCUGUGUGUGUCCUGUGUGGGUGUGGGGUCUGCCUUUCUCGGUUUGUGGGUUUUUAUGAUUAAUAACCACCAAUUCACAAAAACAGAAAAUGAGAUUGGUACUGUUUAUGUUUCCUCCUCACGUCUUUCUCUCCACCCUCCCUCUCACGUCUUCUCUUCCCUCCCACGUCUUCUCUCUCCCCCCCCUCACGUCAUUCUCUGCCCCCCCAGUCUUCUCUCCCCCUCACGUCUUCUCUCCCCCUCACGUCUUCUCUCCCCCCUCACGUCUUCUCUUCUCCCCCCCUCACGUCUCUCUCCCCCCCUCACGUCUUCUCUCCCCCCCUCCGUCUUCUCUCCCCCCUCACGUCCUUCUCUCCCCCCCUCACGUCCUUCUCUCUUCCCCUCCUCACGUCUUCGCUCUCCUCCUCACGUCUUCUCUCUCCCCUCCUCAUGUCAGUGCUCACAGCCACCCAGAUGACCACAGCCACAAGAGUUCCUCCUACUUCCUGUCUCACCACCACUUCCUGUUGCAUGGCCGACCUGGACGGGGACGUCAGCUCCUGCCAAUCAUCUUCGAGGACAGAUACCUGGACUCUAUCACGGAAGAUCGGGACGGGCCGUGGCUGGGCAUACAAAACCCCGCGAGUGGCUCCACGUCCUCGCGUAACUCUAAGGCCUCAUCCUCUUCCACUGCAGCUGCCGCAGCAUCCUUCCCCAGCCCCAUCCUGGAGCCUCGCCCCAACCAUGUGAGCACUACCUGGCCCGAUACUGUCAGACCUGCCCAAGUCCAAAGGUGUGUUGUUGUUAUUCAUAGAAUAGUAUACUAUCAUGAUUACUACGCUAGCGUUCAGAUGAUAGUUACUACGCUAGACGUUCAGGUGAUAGUUACUACAGUACGCCAGACGUUCAGGUGAUAGUUACUACAGUACGCCAGACGUUCAGGUGAUAGUUACUACAGUACGCCAGACGUUCAGGUGAUAGUUACUACGUACGCAGACGUUCAGGUGAUAGUUACUACAGUACGCCAGACU